rnacentral:rRNA from 1 species
AGAGUUUGAUCCUGGCUCAGGAUGAACGCUAGCGGCAGGCUUAACACAUGCAAGUCGAGGGGCAUCGGGAGGGAAGCUUGCUUUCCUUGCCGGCGACCGGCGCACGGGUGAGUAACACGUAUGCAACCUGCCCUCUUCAGGGGGACAACCUUCCGAAAGGGAGGCUAAUCCCGCGUAUAUCGGUUUCGGGCAUCCGAGAUCGAGGAAAGAUUCAUCGGAAGAGGAUGGGCAUGCGGCGCAUUAGCUAGACGGCGGGGUAACGGCCCACCGUGGCGACGAUGCGUAGGGGUUCUGAGAGGAAGGUCCCCCACACUGGUACUGAGGACACGGACCAGACUCCUACGGGAGGCAGCAGUGAGGAAUAUUGGUCAAUGGGAGAGAUCCUGAACCAGCCAAGCCGCGUGAGGGAAGACGGCCCUAUGGGUUGUAAACCUCUUUUGUCGGAGAACAAAACCCGGGACGUGUCCCGGACUGCGUGUAUCCGAAGAAAAAGCAUCGGCUAACUCCGUGCCAGCAGCCGCGGUAAUACGGAGGAUGCGAGCGUUAUCCGGAUUUAUUGGGUUUAAAGGGUGCGUAGGCGGUCCGUUAAGUCAGCGGUAAAAUUGCGGGGCUCAACCCCGUCGAGCCGUUGAAACUGGCAGACUUGAGUUGGCGAGAAGUACGCGGAAUGCGCGGUGUAGCGGUGAAAUGCAUAGAUAUCGCGCAGAACUCCGAUUGCGAAGGCAGCGUACCGGCGCCAGACUGACGCUGAGGCACGAAAGCGUGGGGAUCGAACAGGAUUAGAUACCCUGGUAGUCCACGCAGUAAACGAUGAAUGCUGGUUGUCCGGGGUCGAAUGAGAUUUGGGCGGCGAAGCGAAAGCGAUAAGCAUUCCACCUGGGGGAGUACGCCGGCAACGGUGAAACUCAAAGGAAUUGACGGGGGCCCGCACAAGCGGAGGAACAUGUGGUUUAAUUCGAUGAUACGCGAGGAACCUUACCCGGGCUCAAACGGGAGUGGAAUGGAUCAGAGACGGUUCAGCCUACGGGCCGCUUCCGAGGUGCUGCAUGGUUGUCGUCAGCUCGUGCCGUGAGGUGUCGGCUUAAGUGCCAUAACGAGCGCAACCCCCGCCGGCAGUUGCUAACGGGCAAUGCCGAGGACUCUGCCGGGACUGCCGCCGCAAGGCGAGAGGAAGGCGGGGAUGACGUCAAAUCAGCACGGCCCUUACGUCCGGGGCGACACACGUGUUACAAUGGGCGGUACAGCGGGAAGCCAGGCGGCGACGCCGAGCGGAACCCGAAAGCCGUUCUCAGUUCGGAUCGGAGUCUGCAACCCGACUCCGUGAAGCUGGAUUCGCUAGUAAUCGCGCAUCAGCCAUGGCGCGGUGAAUACGUUCCCGGGCCUUGCACACACCGCCCGUCA